GAGGGUAUAGCUCAGUGGUAGAGUCCGUGCUUAGCAUGGUUGAGGUUCUGGAUUCAAUCCCCAGUACCUCCU
rnacentral:tRNA from 1 species